UACGUAGGAUGCAAGCGUUGUCCGGAAUUAUUGGGCGUAAAGAGCUCGUAGGCGGUCAGUCGCGUCUGCUGUGAAAACUCGGGGCUUAACUCCGGGCCUGCAGUGGGUACGGGCUGACUAGAGUGCGGUAGGGGAGACUGGAAUUCCUGGUGUAGCGGUGAAAUGCGCAGAUAUCAGGAGGAACACCGGUGGCGAAGGCGGGUCUCUGGGCCGAUACUGACGCUGAGGAGCGAAAGCGUGGGGAGCGAACAGG
rnacentral:rRNA from 1 species